AAACCGACCUCUAAACAAGCUCAACCCCCACACAACUCGCAAUCCACCGGGUUUCCUGUUCAACAAACAACCACCACUGUUACACUGAAAAAGGCGAAAUGCGACCGGAAAAAGUUCAUCUCCGCGAAUUUCGAGAUCUAGCCACGAGCGACGAAGCUCCAAUCAACGAACACCACCACCAAAACUCCUUUUGUUUCUUUUCCUUUUUUCAGCGAGCAGUAGUUUCAAACUCCCCUGAGCCGGAGCAAAGAAGAAGAAAACGCUAGUCCCCAUCCCCUUGUCCCUUUACGAUUUUUCUUGUUUUGCAGGUGUCCAAAUACGAUCAAAUUUGCACCUUGGGGCGAAAUACGAAAACCAGAUGAGCUCCAAUUUGAACCAGUUGUUGGAAACUCUUCCACUCCGGUGACCGUUUUUUUCUUUUUUGCAUUUUAGUACGUAUUUG
rnacentral:misc_RNA from 1 species